UCUAUUCAAUACAUCGUUACUUGCUCAGGGAAUGCAGCCGAACAGUUAAAUGUCAUAUAAUCACGGUGUUUCUUGUAGAAAAGCCGCACAGACCCAUUCUGCUUGAAGGAAGUGCUGGAGGAGUUGCCACUGCGCGCUCUGAAGGAUGCACUUGAGAGUAUCGGCAAGAUACUCACUGAGAGCCUGCUGCGUUGCCCCGCUGAGCAAUGGAACCCUGACCCACCGCAACACGACGACAUGGAGACAGAAGCCACGGGAUCGGAGUCAACUGUAGCUGUUGUGACGGCUGUAGCCACAGUGCUAUCUGUGGCUGUGAAAACUGUCAGUGCGGAGGUGAUAGAAGACAUUUUGGAGUCGGCUAUCAUUCUACAUGCCCUGUUGCCACUUUUCAC